UGUAGUGGAGAUGAUUUAAACAGCUAGAAAGGUUGGUCUUAGAAAGAUGGGAAGAAUCAUUGUUGGAGGUGAAAUGAAAAGAUGGGCACACUAUUGGAUUGUUGGAAUUAUGUAUUAGCAUAAUCCUUCUGGGAAACUUGAUUCCCAUCAAGAGGGAAAAUAAGAAGCUGGAACCACAAGGCUGGCCCUUCUGCUCUCCUUAAACAGGAACUUCUCCCUAAAGAGAAUCUAGAGCUAUGUGUCUUCUUUCUGGAAGCUAGAGGCCAAAAGACACUUCUCUCAACAUUCUGCCAACUCUGCAUCUCAUGCAGGCUUAGGGAAUUAAGUACCAAUCUCUACCAAUGAAGAGAAAUGUACACAUGUGGGCUUUGAUAAGUGGAUUACAUCAGUGAGACUUUACAAGCAUUCUAAUGGAAAAGACCAAACUAACUUGUCUAUUACCGCUUUAUUCAGAGCUGCUGCAUAGUCUUCUAGAUUUUAUGAAGGUUUUCUUUAAGAGAAACUUUUGUUUCUGCCUGGGGAAGCAUCCAUUUCCUGUGAUAAAAUUCACAUUGUUACAGUCCACACCUAUGUAUGCACAAGGAAGAUAAUUAAUCUGUAAAAAUUGUCUUAGGAGAGCGCAUACUCAGUCCUGCACAAGGCAAGAAAGGCACUGACCUUUGAUCCCAACAUUCCUAAGGUUUAGGCACAAACUCAG